GAUGAAGAACGCAGCGAAAUGCGAUAAGUAAUGCGAAUUGCAGAAUUUCCGUGAGUCAUCGAAUCUUUGAACGCACAUUGCGCCCCCUGGUAUUCCGGGGGGCAUGCCUGUCCGAGCGUCAUUGCUGCCCUCAAGCACGGCUUGUGUGUUGGGCCUCCGUCCUCCUCCCGGGGGACGGGCCCGAAAGGCAGCGGCGGCACCGCGUCCGGUCCUCGAGCGUAUGGGGCUUCGUCACCCGCUCUUGUAGGCCCGGUCGGCGCUUGCCGACACAUCAAUCUUUUUUCCAGGUUGACCUCGGAUCAGGUAGGGAUACCCGCUGAACUUAAGCAUAUCAAUAAGCGGAGGA
rnacentral:misc_RNA from 1 species